rnacentral:ncRNA from 1 species
CGGCCUGAGGUCGGACGAGGCUACCCGCUGAAUUUAAGCAUAUUACUAAGCGGAGGAAAAGAAACUAACGAGGAUUCCCUCAGUAACGGGAAUU